CAAGCCGAGCGAACGGACGAGAAGCUUGCUUCUCUGAUGUUAGCGGCGGACGGGUGAGUAACACGUGGAUAACCUACCUAUAAGACUGGGAUAACUUCGGGAAACCGGAGCUAAUACCGGAUGAUAUUUUGAACCGCAUGGUUCAAAAGUGAAAGACGGUCUUGCUGUCACUUAUAGAUGGAUCCGCGCUGCAUUAGCUAGUUGGUAAGGUAACGGCUUACCAAGGCAACGAUGCAUAGCCGACCUGAGAGGGUGAUCGGCCACACUGGAACUGAGACACGGUCCAGACUCCUACGGGAGGCAGCAGUAGGGAAUCUUCCGCAAUGGGCGAAAGCCUGACGGAGCAACGCCGCGUGAGUGAUGAAGGUCUUCGGAUCGUAAAACUCUGUUAUUAGGGAAGAACAUAUGUGUAAGUAACUGUGCACAUCUCGACGGUACCUAUUCAGAAAGCCACGGCUAACUACGUGCCAGCAGCCGCGGUAAUACGUAGGUGGCAAGCGUUAUCCGGAAUUAUUGGGCGUAAAGCGCGCGUAGGCGGUUUUUUAAGUCUGAUGUGAAAGCCCACGGCUCAACCGUGGAGGGUCAUUGGAAACUGGAAAACUUGAGUGCAGAAGAGGAAAGUGGAAUUCCAUGUGUAGCGGUGAAAUGCGCAGAGAUAUGGAGGAACACCAGUGGCGAAGGCGAC
rnacentral:rRNA from 1 species